rnacentral:rRNA from 1 species
GUAGGUGGCAAGCGUUGUCCGGAAUUAUUGGGCGUAAAGCGCGCGCAGGCGGUUCUUUAAGUCUGAUGUGAAAGCCCACGGCUCAACCGUGGAGGGUCAUUGGAAACUGGAGAACUUGAGUACAGAAGAGGAAAGCGGAAUUCCACGUGUAGCGGUGAAAUGCGUAGAGAUGUGGAGGAACACCAGUGGCGAAGGCGGCUUUCUGGUCUGUAACUGACGCUGAGGCGCGAAAGCGUGGGGAGCAAACAGGGAUUAGAUACCCUGGUAGUCCACGCCGUAAACGAUGAGUGCUAAGUGUUAGGGGGGUUUUCCGGCCCCCCUUAGUGCUGCAGCUAACGCAUUAAGCACUCCGCCUGGGGUAGUACGGCCGCAAGGCUG